GACGAACGCUGGCGGCAUGCCUAAUACACGCAAGUCGAGCGAACAGAUGAAGUGCUUGCACUUCUGACGUUAGCGGCGAACGGGUGAGUAACACGUAAGGAAUCUACCUAUAAGCGGGGGAUAACAUUCGGAAACGGGUGCUAAUACCGCAUAAUAUCUUCUUCCGCAUGGAAGAAGAUUGAAAGACGGCUCUGCUGUCACUUAUAGAUGACCUUGCGGUGCAUUAGUUAGUUGGUGGGGUAAUGGCCUACCAAGACGAUGAUGCAUAGCCGGCCUGAGAGGGUGAUCGGCCACAUUGGGACUGAGACACGGCCCAAACUCCUACGGGAGGCAGCAGUAGGGAAUCUUCCGCAAUGGGCGAAAGCCUGACGGAGCAAUGCCGCGUGAGUGAAGAAGGCCUUCGGGUCGUAAAACUCUGUUAUAAGAGAAGAACAAAUUGUAGAGUAACUGCUACAGUCUUGACGGUAUCUUAUCAGAAAGCCACGGCUAACUACGUGCCAGCCGCCGCAGUAA
rnacentral:rRNA from 1 species